rnacentral:rRNA from 1 species
AAUGAACGCUGGCGGCGGGCCUAACACAUGCAAGUCGAACGGAAGCACCGUAAGCUUUUUUCCUUACGGGUGGCGAGUGGCGGGCGAGUGACACAUACAUCGGCAACUACUUUUUCGUGGGGGAUUUCGUAAGGCAGGUUACGAUACUACCGAAUAUUUUUUACCGCAUGAUGCAGAGGUUAUUCACACUCUUGGUGUUUGUUUUAGCCGUUGUCGGAUUGGCUAGUUGGAGUGGUAAAGGAACACCUAGGCGACGCUGCGUAGCUGGUCUGAGAGGAUGAUCAGCCACACUGGAACUGAGACACGGUCCAGACUCCUACGGGAGGCAGCAGUGGGGAAUAUUGGACGAUGGGCGAAAGCCUGAUGCAGCCACACCGCGUGAGUGAUGAAGGUCUUCGGAUUGUAAAGCCCUGUUGUUAGGAAAGAAAAUCAGCGUGUGUAUCCGCGGCGAUUCUGACGGUACCCAAAGAAUAAGCACCGGCUAACUUCGUG